rnacentral:rRNA from 1 species
UACGUAGGGGGCAAGCGUUGUUCGAAAUUACUGGGCGUAAAGGGCGCGUAGGCGGCACGGCAAGUCGGGAGUGAAAGCCCGGGGCUCAACCCCGGAACGGCUCUCGAAACUGCCGAGCUAGAGUGCGGAAGGGGCAACUGGAAUUCCCAGUGUAGCGGUGAAAUGCGCAGAUAUCAGGAGGAACACCGGUGGCGAAGGCGGAUCUCUGGGCCUUACCUGACGCUGAGGCGCGAAAGCUAGGGGAGCAAACAGG